rnacentral:lncRNA from 1 species
GCCCAUACUGGGACCUGGAUUGGAUGUCCCCGUAAUUGGAUCAAAUUGGCCCUUCACAUGAGACUCACCCAAAUAUGGAAUUAGUUCUUUUCCCUUUUGUUGACUCCUGGUAAGAUCGACUCGGAUUCAAUCCAUCCAAUUUAUUGGAGAAUCUUGAGGACCUUGUUUUAUAUCCUCAAUUUUUCCUUGGCUUUGGAUCUGCUGAUUCCGUUUAUUGAAAUUGGACGGAACAUUAUAUUACUGAUAAGUAUGUCUUG